GCCGUUUUAGCUCAGCAGGUAGAGCACUUCCAUGGUAAGGAAGAGGUCGGCAGUUCAAAUCUGCUAAGCGGCU
rnacentral:tRNA from 1 species